rnacentral:rRNA from 1 species
CCUACGGGAGGCAGCAGUAGGGAAUAUUGCUCAAUGGGGGAAACCCUGAAGCAGCAACGCCGCGUGGAGGAUGAAGGUUUUCGGAUUGUAAACUCCUUUUGUUAGAGAAGAUAAUGACGGUAUCUAACGAAUAAGCACCGGCUAACUCCGUGCCAGCAGCCGCGGUAAUACGGAGGGUGCAAGCGUUACUCGGAAUCACUGGGCGUAAAGCGCGCGUAGGCGGGUUAGCAAGUCAGAUGUGAAAUCCUAUGGCUUAACCAUAGAACUGCAUUUGAAACUGUUAUUCUAGAGUAUGGGAGAGGUAGGUGGAAUUCGUGGUGUAGGGGUAAAAUCCGUAGAGAUCAAGAGGAAUACUCAUUGCGAAGGCGACCUGCUAGAACAUAACUGACGCUGAUGCGCGAAAGCGUGGGGAGCAAACAGGAUUAGAUACCCCAGUAGUC